AGCGUAGGCGGACUUUUAAGUGAGAUGUGAAAUACCCGGGCUCAACUUGGGUGCUGCAUUUCAAACUGAAAGUCUAGAGUGCAGGAGAGGAGAAUGGAAUUCCUAGUGUAGCGGUGAAAUGCGUAGAGAUUAGGAAGAACACCAGUGGCGAAGGCGAUUCUCUGGACUGUAACUGACGCUGAGGCUCGAAAGCGUGGGAGCAAACA
rnacentral:rRNA from 1 species